AGAAGUUACUUAAGGGCGAACGGAGGAUGCCUUGGCUUCUAUGGGCGAAGAAGGACGUGGUAAGCUGCGAAAAGCUGCGGGGAUUUGCAAACGAGAUUUGAUCCGCGGAUAUCCGAAUGGGGCAACCCGGCUGGUUGAAGACCAGUCACGCAGAGAUGCGUGCCAACGCAGGGAACUGAAACAUCUUAGUACCUGCAGGAAAAGAAAGAAAAAUCGAUUCUCUGAGUAGUGGCGAGCGAAAGGGGAAUAGCCUAAACCGGGUCUGUUGAGGCAGAUUCGGGGUUGUAGGACCGCGAUAUUUGGUAUAAAUAAGAAGUGGAAUCAUAUGGGAAUAUGGGUCAUAGAGGGUGACAGCCCCGUACACGUAUAUAUUUAUAUUGAUAGCGGUAUCCUGAGUAGGGCGGGACACGAGGAAUCCUGUCUGAAUCUACGGGGACCAUCCCGUAAGGCUAAAUACCAAUAGAAGACCGAUAGUGUACCAGUACUGUGAAGGAAAGGUGAAAAGUACCCCGAACAGGGGGGUGAAAUAGAACCUGAAACCGUUCGCUUACAAGCGGUCGGAGUCCCGUAAGGGAUGACGGCGUGCCUUUUGCAUAAUGAGCCUACGAGUUGUUUCUCACUAGCGAGGUUAAGUACUUCAGGUACGGAGCCGAAGCGAAAGCGAGUCUUAAAAGGGCGAUUAGUUAGUGGGAACAGACGCGAAACCUUGUGAUCUACCCUUGACCAGGUUGAAGGAGCCGUAACAGGCUGUGGAGGACCGAACCAGUUUCCGUUGAAAAGGAUUUGGAUGAGUUGAGGGUAGGGGUGAAAGGCUAAUCAAACUGGGAGAUAGCUCGUACUCCCCGAAAUGUCUUUUGGGACAGCCUCAAGUAAUAGCUUAACGGAGGUAGAGCUACUGAUUGGAUGCGAGGGCUUCAUCGCCUAUCAAUUCCAGACAAACUCCGAAUGCCGUUAAGUGUUUCUUGGGAGUGAGUCGCCGGGUGCUAAUGUCCGGUGGCGAGAGGGAAAGAGCCCUGACCAACAGCUAAGGCCCCCAAACGUGUGUUAAGUUGAUAGAACGAUGUGUGGUUGCAGCGACAGCUAGGAUGUUAGCUUGGAAGCAGCUAUUCAUUUAAAGAGUGCGUAACAGCUCACUAGUCGAGCGACCGUGCGUGGAUAAUAAUCGGGCAUCAAACACACUGCCGAAGCUAUGGACUUUUUUUAAAGUGGUAGGGGAGCAUUCCAUUCAGCGACGAAGGUGAACUGUGAGGUUUGCUGGAGCGUAUGGAAAAGAAGAUGUAGGCAUAAGUAACGAUAAUGCAGGCGAGAAACCUGCACACCGAAAACCCAAGGUUUCCUGAUCAACGUUAAUCGGAUCAGGGUUAGUCGGGUCCUAAGGAUCAGCCGAAAGGUGUAUUCGAUGGACAAAUGGUUAAUAUUCCAUUACCUGUAUAUUGAGAGAGGGAGAGACGGAGUAGUGACACACACGCCAACUGACGGAAUAGUUGGUUAAAGGCCGUAGGUAUAGGAUCUGGUUAAGAGCUGGAUUUUGCUGAUGGUUUACAGUACAGUGAGUCUUCGGAUGAACUGAUAGUUGUGGUAAACAGACUUCCAAGAAAAUCUUCCAAUUGUUAAUUGAUAUGCAGCCCGUACCGUAAACCGACACAGGUGGGUGAGGAGAGAAUCCUAAGGUGCUCGAGUGAAUCAUGGCUAAGGAACUCGGCAAAUUAACCCCGUAACUUCGGGAGAAGGGGACCCUAGCGAUAGGGCGCAGAGAAAUGGCCCAGGCGACUGUUUAACAAAAACACAGGGCUUUGCUAAAUCGAAAGAUGACGAAUAAGGCCUGACACCUGCCCGGUGCUGGAAGGUUAAGAGGGGAUGUUAGCGCAAGCGAAGCAUUGAAUCGAAGCCCCAGUAAACGGCGGCCGUAACUAUAACGGUCCUAAGGUAGCGAAAUUCCUUGUCGGGUAAGUUCCGACCUGCACGAAUGGUGUAACGAUCUGGAUACUGUCUCAACCAUGAGCUCGGUGAAAUUGUAGUAGCGGUGAAGAUGCCGCUUACCCGCAACGGG
rnacentral:rRNA from 1 species